rnacentral:rRNA from 1 species
UGGGGAAUAUUGGACAAUGGGCGAAAGCCUGAUCCAGCCAUGCCGCGUGUAUGAAGAAGGUCUUCGGAUUGUAAAGCACUUUAAGUUGGGAGGAAGGGCAUUAACCUAAUACGUUAGUGUUUUGACGUUACCGACAGAAUAAGCACCGGCUAACUCUGUG